GACCUCUCAGGGUUGCAUCUGGAGAGUUUACAGUAUUCUACCAGUCAUGACUACAGGAGGGAGAGUCAAGCAGAGGCCUACCCAUUCCAUUCCUAGCUUGGACAGUGGCUAAUGUGUGGUGGGUAAUCUGCUACAAAU
rnacentral:snoRNA from 1 species